rnacentral:lncRNA from 12 species
AUGGAGAAUGAGGAGGACAGCGAUGAAGAAGAGCAGAAGGAGAUAACAACUGUAGAAUUUUAUACCCAAUGGACACCAAUUCUAAAUAACUUGGAAGAAAUCCAGAAUGAUGAUCCGGUGAACAAGAACUACUUCUGUGCAAGAAGGGGCUCAAUAGGGAGUAGGAAGAGAAGUAAGGAUUUGAGGAGACUCUCGGAUUGCCAACCAACAGAAACAAAACAAAACUGUACUAUCAGUGCCCAACAGAAAAAUAGGAGGAUGAGAAGUUUCACUUUUCUCUUUAUGGUAGGAGGUGGCUCAUCAAGACCAAGGACUAAGAGAAAGGUGAGAGGUGAGGCUGGCACUCAGCUUUCUAUUUGAUAGUAGAAUGAUGAUAGUUGCCCAGGG